rnacentral:rRNA from 1 species
UGGGGAAUUUUGGACAAUGGGCGCAAGCCUGAUCCAGCCAUGCCGCGUGAGUGAAGAAGGCCUUCGGGUUGUAAAGCUCUUUCGGCGGGGACGAAACGGUUCGUGACAACACCACGGACUAAUGACGGUACCCGCAUAAGAAGCACCGGCUAACUACGUGCCAGCAGCCGCGGUAAUACGUAGGGUGCAGGCGUUAAUCGGAAUUACUGGGCGUAAAGCGUGCGCAGGCGGUUUGUUAAGUUGGAUGUGAAAUCCCCGGGCUCAACCUGGGAACUGCAUUCAAAACUGACAAGCUAGAGUAUGGUAGAGGGUGGUGGAAUUCCGCGUGUAGCAGUGAAAUGCGUAGAUAUGCGGAGGAACACCGAUGGCGAAGGCAAUCCCCUGGACCUGUACUGACGCUCAUGCACGAAAGCGUGGGGAGCAAACAGGAUUAGAUACCCACGUAGUCCCUGAGCGGGCUGGCAAGGCGCAU